GGAACAAAGACCACGGGAAGAGCCAUUACAUAAAAGGAUAAAGAGGGCGCACAACGUGGGCAUUGCGUUGUCCGGCCUUUUAACAGUUUGUCACGUCUGAAGCUGUAAGGCGCCUUCACAAUUCGGAAAACAACCCACAUAAAUAUGAUCCACAAACUGGAAUAAGUUCGCCUCGUAACCAAGCAGUCAUGACUUAUCUGCUAGAGGAAUUGAAAACAACUUUUGCAGAUGCAGACCCUGAGUGUAUACAAGCGUGUUGCAAGACAUACUUUGAAACACUUUGGAGAAAGUACAAUUUGUCUCAGCCAGAAAAGUCCCAGCUAAGAGAUGCCAUUAAAACAUGAGCUAAAAACCGACAAAGGAAAAGACGGUUGCUGGAUUCCAGGUCCAAGGUUGUUCAAACCGAUGCAGAGAGAGAGCUUUGGCAGACUGCAACAGUGGAGCUGAUGUCUGACGAGGAGGAUGCCAUUGUUGAUGGAAGGCCAGUGUGGAUUGUGAGGUCUCCAUCUCACAGGAACCCACAAUUGUCAGAACUUUGUGAGGAGCUUCAGCGCAGAUUGGAGGCAGACAUGCGCUACACUAUUUUGCAUCAUCAGCGUGUUAAGGCUGAUGGAAAUGGACAUGGACAUGAUGGACCUUCCUUUCUUCAACUUUAACUAAACUGCACUGGUUUUGCAAUUUUAGUAAUUGCACCACAAACUGCACAUUUUCACUUAUUCUCUUCUAUUUUAUCUUAUUCUUUGUAUACUUAUUAGGUUAGAUUUAUUUAGUUUCAUAUUCUGCAACUUAUUUUCUUUUAAUAUUGUUUGUG